GCCUGGGUGGCUCAGUAGGUUGAGCAUCUGACUUCGGCUCAGGUCAUGAUCUCAUGGUUUGUGAGUUUGAGCCCCGCGUCGGGCU
rnacentral:tRNA from 1 species